rnacentral:SRP_RNA from 1 species
GUUGGGCAUGGUGGCCUGUGCCCAUAGUCCCAGCUACUCGGGAGGCUGAGGCUGGAGGAUCACUUGAGUCCAGGAGUUCUGGGCUGUAGUGCGCUAUGCUGAUCAGGUGUCCGCACUAAGUUCAGCAUCAGUAUGGUGACCUCCUGGGAGCAGGGAACCACCAGGUUGCCUAAGGAGGGGUGAACUGGCCCAGGUUGGAAAUGGAGCAGGUCAAAACUCCUGCGCUGAUCAGUAGUGGGAUCCCGCCUGUGAAUAGCCACUGCACUCCAGCCUGGGCAACAUAGCAAGACCCCGUCUCU